rnacentral:misc_RNA from 1 species
GAAUGUUAGCAAAUAUCCUCACAAAGCUCCCUCAUGUGUUUACACUCAAUCAUUGUCACUCCACCCGUAUUUCACACAAUUUAAGCUUUUACCUUUUUAUGUGCUCAAACAUUCUUAUCUUUUUUCACUCUUUAAUUUUUUUUUCCUUUUAGCUCUUUAAGGAGCUAACCAAACUCAGUCAAAGUAACCAACUUGUAAUAUUCAACAA